rnacentral:rRNA from 1 species
AUUGAACGCUGGCGGCAUGCUUUACACAUGCAAGUCGAACGGUAACAGGGUGCUUGCACCGCUGACGAGUGGCGAACGGGUGAGUAAUGCAUCGGAAUGUACCGUGUAAUGGGGGAUAGCUCGGCGAAAGCCGGAUUAAUACCGCAUACGCCCUGAGGGGGAAAGUGGGGGACCGAAAGGCCUCACGUUAUACGAGCAGCCGAUGUCUGAUUAGCUAGUUGGUGAGGUAAAGGCUCACCAAGGCGUCGAUCAGUAGCGGGUCUGAGAGGAUGAUCCGCCACACUGGGACUGAGACACGGCCCAGACUCCUACGGGAGGCAGCAGUGGGGAAUUUUGGACAAUGGGCGCAAGCCUGAUCCAGCCAUGCCGCGUGUCUG